rnacentral:lncRNA from 10 species
GCUCUAAGCACUUAGCCCUCAGCAGCUCUGACUGUAAGAGAAAUUGUAUCUUGUUCACCAUGCAGCCUGAAUCGGUGGAUGUGGUCGCCAGAUGCCAGGAGAAGUCACCUGCCAUUUGCAGCCAUCCUCAAGUACACCAAGUCAGCAUUUCAAUUCACGAAAGCUCCCAAGACAGAUGUGAAACAGAAAGACGCCAUUGUGGGAAAAUCCCUUCCCUUCUCUGGACAUAUCUAAAUAAGAGUUGGAGGAAUUACUGAACACACCAUGACUGCAAAGUCUCACCCAAGAUAAUGUGGAAAGGACUUUCGAAGAACUCCCUGAUUCUAAGAAAAAAUUAGAAGGAAGCAGUCACAAUCACUUAUUAACUUUUUGUUUGCUUCUUUUAUCUAGCUCCUCCGUGAGACAGGCCUGACAAGUGUCACCUGAACAAGGGGUCAAAGCCAUUCCAUUCCAUGCAUGCGGCACUGCAAUUUUAAACAACUGUGGCUUGAGACAAAGAUCCUCCCGAGAAAGCAAAAUCCAACAGAGUUUGCAGUUUCCAGCUUCCGUGCUUCCUGAAUUAUACAUGGGCAAAACCCCCUUGAAGGCUGCUUUUUAAGCCGUGAGGGGAAGGCGUGUAAUUUUGGUCUCUAGCAUUCUGCUGAAACACUUGCUGAGGACAAGGCCCCUUCCUCGCCAAGUGGCGUUUGCCUCCAAACCAAACAGGGGACUUUGACGCCUCAAAUAGCUUCAAGCUGCCAGCAGAAAGGAGGCAAAGGGGACUGGCACUUCCUCUCUUUGCCAGUCUUGAAUCCUGAGGGUUCAGAGAGACUGGGAAACUGGGUUCCUGUCCCUGCAGUGGCAGCUGUGACACAGGCCAGGGUGACAUUCUUCCCCUUCCUGGCUGGAAAGAGGGAAAGUGCUGUAAACCUCUGGAAAGGGACAGGAGGCCAGGAGAAGCGGACUGAGCCAGGGCAGGCGAGGCACAGUAGGGUCCAGCUAGGGUGUAGGCAGCCCGGCCACCCUCUCCGAAAGACAACUGCUCCAGGUCCAGACUGCCCAGCAGUGGGACGCCAGGCACAACAGGGACAGUGACACUUCCCACUUCUAUAAUGGAGCAACUGGUCUUCAGGGCUCUGUAGCUGCAAAAUGCUACCCACUGGGAGGGAGUUCUUGAGACUGUCUUCUCUCCCUGAGGUUUGCCUAAGGUUAGUGGGUGAUGGCAUUCAGAGGACCUGAGUUGGCUGGGGUCAUUUGGCUCGGUGGUGGCUAAGGAUGCCAGACCGGAUACUUUUGAAGUGCUCAAAGUCCACAUCCUGAGGCAAAGUGAAGGGCAGAGGCCACCACCUAGACCUUCCAGACUUAAGCAUCAAGGAGUCCCCUUAGCCUGUUUACACCCUUCGGCAAUGGGGGCAGAGGAGCACAAGAGGAAACUGCUCUGUUGUUUCCAGUUUCUGAGGGGCCAUCUCGGGCAAGGCUUGGAUGGGGCAGGGCCUUCUCUAGGUCUUGGGACCGCCCCUCAUUGCAGGAGACAAAACUUCCCACAUCCCACAUCCAGGCUUCUCUGAUGUCAUCUCCAGGGGUCUGCGUUCUCCUUCCCAGCCCUGGGAGCUUUAUUUCAAGCUGAGAUACAAUGACAC